rnacentral:misc_RNA from 1 species
GUUUAAGCUUCUUAAUUGCAACAAUUUCACCAGUUACAAGUGAUCCCUUGAAAACUAUACCAAAAACACCCUCGCCAAGCAAGUUUUUGUUAGAGAAAUGAGCUGUUGCCCUUGCUAGUUCUUCAUAAGUAAAGAUUCUUGGUGAAGUAAUUUGUUUGCUUUCAAUGCCAAGUACAGACUGUAGAUCAAAACGAGUACCUCCAUGAAGAGAUAUCCUCUCCUUUAGAGGCGUAGUUCCUUCAAGAAUUUCAAUUAUCUGUUUCAUGUUUGGCCGAGAGUUUAAAGGCUUAUAUACACAAGCAGCAGCACAAUAAGUCAUUCUUUGCAUUUCUCUUUCAUCACAAGCUCCUCGCAAUUUCAAAUCAACAAAACCUUCAUAUUUCUUGCUGUAUAGUACUUCUUCAAUUCGAGAUUUUGCCCAAGUAACAAUACUGUCACUUUCACUUAGAGGUUUUCUUCCAGUAAUUAGCUCCAGAAGCACAACGCCAAAGGAAUAAACAUCUGAUUUCUUAGAUACUUUUCGUUUUGCGUACUCUGGAUCCGCAUAAACAUUUUUUCCCCUUAAUACACUGGUGAUAUGGCCAACAUUGUCAAUAUUUGGCAAAAACACGGCGAGCGAAAAAUCUGCAAGCUUUGGUUCAAAAUUAUCGUCAAGAAGAAUAUUUUCUGACUUAACAUCUCGGUGUAUAAUUUUACAAUUUUCAUGUAGAUAUUGCAAUCCAUCCGCAGAUUUUACGGCGAUUUUCAUUCUUUUUGCCCAUUCUAAAACGUUCCCUUUUCCAUCUAGAUGAUGUCUCAAGGUUUUAUUGGGAACAAACUCUAAAACAAGUAAUCUAUCGGCU